rnacentral:rRNA from 1 species
AUUGAACGCUGGCGGCAGGCCUAACACAUGCAAGUCGAACGGUAGCACAGAGAGCUUGCUCUCGGGUGACGAGUGGCGGACGGGUGAGUAACGUCUGGGAAACUGCCCGAUGGAGGGGGAUAACUACUGGAAACGGUAGCUAAUACCGCAUAACGUCGCAAGACCAAAGUGGGGGACCUUCGGGCCUCACACCAUCGGAUGUGCCCAGAUGGGAUUAGCUAGUAGGUGGGGUAAUGGCUCACCUGGGCGACGAUCCCAAGCUGGUCUGAGAGGAUGACCAGCCACACUGGAACUGGGACACGGUCCAGACUCCUACGGGAGGCAGCAGUGGGGAAUAUUGCACAAUGGGCGCAAGCCUGAUGCAGCCAUGCCGCGUGUAUGAAGAAGGCCUUCGGGUUGUAAAGUACUUUCAGCGGGGAGGAAGGCGGUGAAGUUAAUAGCUUCACCGAUUGACGUUACCCGCAGAAGAAGCACCGGCUAACUACGUGCCAGCCGCCGCCGUAA